UACAGAGGGGGCAAGCGUUGUUCGGAAUUACUGGGCGUAAAGGGCGCGUAGGCGGCCUGCUAAGUCGAACGUGAAAUCCCCGGGCUCAACCCGGGAACUGCGUCCGAUACUGGUAGGCUUGAAUUCGGGAGAGGGAUGCGGAAUUCCAGGUGUAGCGGUGAAAUGCGUAGAUAUCUGGAGGUACACCGGUGGCGAAGGCGGCAUCCUGGACCGAAAUUGACGCUGAGGCGCGAAAGCCAGGGGAGCAAACGGG
rnacentral:rRNA from 1 species